rnacentral:rRNA from 1 species
CGUACACUCCUACGGGAGGCAGCAGUGGGGAAUUUUGGACAAUGGGCGAAAGCCUGAUCCAGCCAUGCCGCGUGCAGGAUGAAGGCCUUCGGGUUGUAAACUGCUUUUGUACGGAACGAAACGGCCUUUUCUAAUAAAGAGGGCUAAUGACGGUACCGUAAGAAUAAGCACCGGCUAACUACGUGCCAGCAGCCGCGGUAAUACGUAGGGUGCAAGCGUUAAUCGGAAUUACUGGGCGUAAAGCGUGCGCAGGCGGUUAUGUAAGACAGUUGUGAAAUCCCCGGGCUCAACCUGGGAACUGCAUCUGUGACUGCAUAGCUAGAGUACGGUAGAGGGGGAUGGAAUUCCGCGUGUAGCAGUGAAAUGCGUAGAUAUGCGGAGGAACACCGAUGGCGAAGGCAAUCCCCUGGACCUGUACUGACGCUCAUGCACGAAAGCGUGGGGAGCAAACAGGAUUAGAAACCCGAGUAGUCCC